GUGUACGGCCACACCACCCUGAACACACCCAAUCCUGUCUGAUCUUGGAAGCUAAGCAGGCUCAGGCCUGGCUAGUACUUGGAUGGGAGAAUAUUCCACUGUUCACA
rnacentral:rRNA from 1 species